CAUCGGCUUCGAACCCUAACAUCUCUCCUACAUCAUAGCCCAUGCAUAUAAUCCUUUUUGAGGAAGAAAGUGGAUUGUGCAAGCCUCUGACAGGUGUGGAUCUUCCAAGCAAUAUUUUGGAGUUAAAGAUUCCUUCACUUCCAGCUGAUAGAUGAUCCCUUCUACUCAAGAAGUUUCAUAUACGUCGUCUGUGUUGGAUUCAGCUGUCUUCCCCUUUCAUAACUCCCCUAUAUGUUCCCCAUCUAACCAAUAUUGACCAUAUGUAGGGACCUCUCUACACCCCUAUUCAGC